rnacentral:rRNA from 1 species
GAUCCUGGCUCAGGAUGAACGCUGGCGGCGUGCCUAACACAUGCAAGUCGAGCGAUUUACUUCGGUAAAGAGCGGCGGACGGGUGAGUAACGCGUGGGUAACCUGCCCUGUACACACGGAUAACAUACCGAAAGGUAUGCUAAUACGAGAUGACAUGAGAGAGUCGCAUGGCUUUCUUAUCAAAGCUUUUGCGGUACAGGAUGGACCCGCGUCUGAUUAGCUAGUUGGUAAGGUAACGG